rnacentral:rRNA from 1 species
GUGCUUUGCGGCAUCUACACAUGCAGUCGUACGACUGUGCUUAUUCACUCCCGAGUGCUUGCACUCAUUUGGAAAGAGGAGUGGCGGACGGGUGAGUAACACGUGGGUAACCUACCCAUCAGAGGGGGAUAACACUUGGAAACAGGUGCUAAUACCGCAUAACAGUUUAUGCCGCAUGGCAUAAGAGUGAAAGGCGCUUUCGGGUGUCACUGAUGGAUGGACCCGCGGUGCAUUAGCUAGUUGGUGAGGUAACGGCUCACCAAGGCCACGAUGCAUAGCCGACCUGAGAGGGUGAUCGGCCACACUGGGACUGAGACACGGCCCAGACUCCUACGGGAGGCAGCAGUAGGGAAUCUUCGGCAAUGGACGAAAGUCUGACCGAGCAACGCCGCGUGAGUGAAGAAGGUUUUCGGAUCGUAAAACUCUGUUGUUAGAGAAGAACAAGGACGUUAGUAACUGAACGUCCCCUGACGGUAUCUAACCAGAAAGCCACGGCUAACUACGUGCCAGCAGCCGCGGUAAUACGUAGGUGGCAAGCGUUGUCCGGAUUUAUUGGGCGUAAAGCGAGCGCAGGCGGUUUCUUAAGUCUGAUGUGAAAGCCCCCGGCUCAACCGGGGAGGGUCAUUGGAAACUGGGAGACUUGAGUGCAGAAGAGGAGAGUGGAAUUCCAUGUGUAGCGGUGAAAUGCGUAGAUAUAUGGAGGAACACCAGUGGCGAAGGCGGCUCUCUGGUCUGUAACUGACGCUGAGGCUCGAAAGCGUGGGGAGCAAACAGGAUUAGAUACCCUGGUAGUCCACGCCGUAAACGAUGAGUGCUAAGUGUUGGGAGGGUUUCCGCCCUUCAGUGCUGCAGCAAACGCAUUAAGCACUCCGCCUGGGGGAGUACGACCGCAAGGUUGAAACUCAAAGGAAUUGACGGGGGCCCGCACAAGCGGUGGAACCAGGUGGUUUAAUUCGAAGCAACGCGAAGAACCUUACCAGGUCUUGACAUCCUUUGACCACUCUAGAGAUAGAGCUUUCCCUUCGGGGACAAAGUGACAGGUGGUUGCAUGGUUGUCGUCAGCUCGUGUCGUGAGAUGUUUGGGUUAAGUCCCGCAACGAGCGCAACCCUUAAUUGUUAGUUGCCAUCCAUUUAGGUUGGGCACUCUAGCCGAGACUGCCGGUGACAAACCGGAAGAAAGGGUGGGGGAUGAACUUCAAAUCAUCCAGGCCCCCUUAUGAACCUGGGGCUACACACGUGGUUACAAUGGGGAAAUUCAACCAAGUCCCCUUAAACGCGCGGGUCUUGGCAAAUCUCUUAAAGCUUCUCUUCAAUUUCGGAAUUGCAGGGGGGCAAAUCCGCCGGGCUGAAAACCCGAAUUCCCUUUUAAUUCCGGGAAUAAAC